rnacentral:rRNA from 1 species
ACAGAGGUCUCAAGCGUUGUUCGGAAUCACUGGGCGUAAAGGGUGCGUAGGUGGCGUGGUAAGUCAGAUGUGAAAGCCCGGGGCUCAACCUCGGAAUUGCAUCCGAUACUGCCAUGCUCGAGUACUGAAGAGGUGACUAGAAUUCUAGGUGUAGCAGUGAAAUGCGUAGAUAUCUAGAGGAAUACCAAAGGCGAAGGCAGGUCACUGGGCAGUUACUGACACUGAGGCACGAAGGCCAGGGUAGCGAACGGGAUUAGAUACCCCGGUAGUCCUGGCAGUAAACGGUGCACGUUUGGUAUGGGCGCAAUCGACCGCGCCCGUGCCGGAGCUAACGCGUUAAACGUGCCGCCUGGGAAGUACGGUCGCAAGAUUA